CACACACACACGGGCUCACAGCCCAUCAUUUGCUUAAGCUCGUUAGUGCAUUCUACACAUAUAGGCUACAAUGUCCUUUUUAAAUUAUAUUAUAGUAUCGUCUAUGAAUUGUUGGAAUUUUAACCAUCAUCACGUUUUUCUAUUGUGUGUAUCAACUCAAUCUUUACUCACGAGUAGGCUUUGAUGAUGCGUUGCCGCGUAGGAUACGUGUGUGAGUGGGAUGCAAGUUAAAUAGGUUGUCGACGUUCUGGUUGCUGGGCGCACGAACUGUAGGCUACUGCGGUAAAGGAUGCGUCUGCUUGAUGGCUUAAAUAGGCUACGUAAAGAGACUGACAGAAAAAUAUGAUAAUAUCUUUAAAACAGCCUUUUGGUUUCGGCGCAGACGGAUGGGACCUUUUCAACCUAAUGCAAUCAAAGCACGAUAUACGUAUAUGGAUCCUUGUCGGCUGAUGCUCAGGGAGUCGUGUUGGGAGACGCAUACAAGGAUUGCCUACGACAAUUAUCCGACAACAAGCAACGACAGUUUAGAUGUCUGGGCAACGUCCAGUUUGGAGAAUCUGUGUGCCAUACGGUAAGAGAAGCAAGCGGAUUACGACAUUUUUGAGCGCGGUGGAGUCGAUAUGCACCCUUUUCGAAUCGAAACAUUUCGUGACGGUUUUGUGUACCACGAUGGAUUCAUUGUCUUAAAAGCCACCUUCCUCAUUCGAUAUUCAUACGGGUUUUCUUUUUUUUUUUACAUGGACUGAAUUGUUUCGUCUGACGCCCUAGAAAUACUCUGAAGCUGCAUAUCUGGAUGGAGAACGAUGUUGACAGCACAGUCACUGAAUGUUAUUCAGGAUCCCAGAGCACACAACGUUCCAUUUUAUAGUUGUUGACGCCUCCUUUUGUACGUUUUAGGAUUGCACGCUACCUUAUAUUUUGAUACUGUCAAAUAAAGACUGCCACAAUGCUCCAGCAGAACAAUAACAACAACUAUCCAUGUCUGGAGAUGGCUGGCUCCACUAGGGAAGUGCUGCAGAAGUGCCAAAAAAGCUAUCUUCCCUUCACCAGUCGUUUGGAGCUUGCAGACAUGCCCUUAGUCAAGGGCCUUCGGGCCUGGGCGGUGUGCUCCAAGGAGCGGAGGAGGUCAGCGCCGUCCACCAGGGCUCCAGGGACCUGCCUCGGGUCGGCAGACAUCUACCCAGUGGGACAGUGGGGCAGGGUGGGUCGUGAUCUGGGGCUACCGCUGGAUUCCACCUAUUCCUCCCAGCCCAGGCAGGCAGGCCUCGGGGCUCUUGUGACGGUGGCCACAUUGAAGGCCUCUGAGGGAGGCGGUCAGACUCAGACACACUGUCUGUUUCUCAGUGCAGAGAGUGGCAGGUGCCUCUACAGCACAAGGGGCCCAAAGACCCACGGUCAACGUCUGGUCCCUCAGACUCCAUCCACCCUGGUGGGCAGCUGGCUCAGGGAUAAAGUGGGGGGAUUCAGGGACUCCUCUGUGGUGGGGAAAAUGGGGGUGCGCGACAUGGGAGGGGCAACAUACCAGGUGAAAUCGAGGUCCGGCCGGAGGUGGAGGACAUCCUGCAAAGCUGUGGCUCCUAUCCGGGGUAAAACACCCACCGAACGCAGGGAGGAUCCCAGGGUGCACACCCUGGAAGGAAGUCAGGAAAGCGGGGACAAAGGAGAGUUUCCGACCCUUGUCACGGACACACUGUCUGGGAAGCAGGACAGAGGAAACGCCAGAAGCCUCAGAUGCUGCCACGCUCAAACCAAGACCUGCACAGAGUGUCACCGGAGGAGAGGAGAGCAGGGGAACAGCAGCCGACAGAAGGGAUCUUCCUCCGUCUGUGUGGAGGAUCAGUUGGAGGGCGCCAUGGAGGGGAUUAAGGGGGAGGGGACUGCUGUCAGCCGACUAAAGCCCUGCAGCCUGCCCCCAGACACCAAGGACCCAGAAAGCCGCAGUAGUGACGUCAGGGACGGAGGACAGCCGGGCAACCCGCUGCGUCCUGAACUCUCCCACGACAAGGACCCCUUCCAGGACAAGACAGGGGAUGAAGACACCGGUACGGGAGGUGAAGACGUGUCCAGUGGUCACCCAAGACACGCGGAACGCGCUAACGGCACGCUGGGCACUGUGAACGGGUUUGUGGAGCAUAUCAAGUCGGCCGAACGUGAGUCGGCGAGGCUAGAAGGGAACGGGAGCACAGCUGUGGGGGGUGAUCAAUCUACGGGGAGACACUGCUGCUCUGAGAGAGGCUGCCUCAAACCCCCAUCCACACAGCCACCCACCCCAGCAGGGGGCAGCACUUCCGCUGCAGCCGAUGGGACUGGCUGUGGUCAGAUAAAUCCGGAAAUUAAAUCAGUUAGUCAGCUCAACAAGGAGGGAGAGCUUUGCGGGAAGUGUCUGCCAAAAGAAAAAGUCCCCGCGGCUGUGGAUAAAGAAGUGUUAGUGGUAGCUGAGCACAGGCUCCAUGGGGAGAAGGAGAAAGACGGCGAGGAGGGAAUCCAGUUGACGGCACCAGAAAUUAGGGAGCUCUGCGGGGAGUAUGGAGAUAUACAGCCUGAGGUCAGGAGCACAGACAAUGUUACCAGACUGGAAUGGGAAGCCAGGCAAGGGGAUUUCACAUCCCGAGGAGCGGAGAGAGGGCCUUACUGGGCAACGGAACGGCGUGAGUCAGAGGGGACGUGUUGGACGGAAGAAAGGUGUUUUUCUGGUUUAGCAGCUACCAUGACUGAGAAAGCAAUAGGAGGAGGGUGGAUGGAGUUGGAGACUGGGCAGUUUAAUUCCCCUUCACCAGGCCCUGCUACCUCUGUCACGCACACGCCGACUAAUCCGCUACCCCCGGGAGUCAUGGCAACAAGCUUCCCGGCUCUGGAGGGGGGACAGAUCGAAGCUGCAAGUGGGGCUCCGGCACCGCUGAUACUGAGUCUAGGGGAGCCAAACAGGGACCGGGACGAGAGCAAGGUAGCUGCCGACGCUGGGUUCCUGGAUGAGGAUACGGAGGGGGAUGAUGGUUUUGGGCAUUUCAUGCAAGCGGGGGAGCAGUCGUCCUGGAAUGACGGUUUCAUUGCAUCACCUCUAGUGCCUUCUGUGAAGAGUGCCGAAAUUGAAAACCCUGCCGUCACACAUUUGUCUACCCAUUUGACCUCAGACGUGACGGACUGCUCAUUUCACCAAUCAGAGGGUGCCUGGACAGCCUUCCAACAGAAUACGGACAGAGACGGACAAGACACGAGACGAGAGUGGUGGCCCACAAAUGCUGUGGAGGAGACAAGAAGCAGAUGCUCUAACAAGCAAAAUGUGAAUGGUGUGUUUGUGGAGGCCUUCUCCUCCCAGUCUACGCCCCCCUGUGAUUGUGAGGCAGUUCCCACACUCGGCCAGCUCCUCAGGAGCGUCUUGGAUCAUGAAAGCUCUGCAAAGGAUCACGGCUUACUGGACGGGUUCCAUGACCUGAACAAGAUGAUUGGAUUAAAAUAUAAAAGGGCCAAUACUGUUUCCCGUGAACGUCUUCUACACUCACUACAAAUAGGCCUGUGUAACACAGAAAAUAUUACUGGGAACCAGGCAGCAAGCCACAGUCCAUCUCUUGUCCCUCCCUUUUCAAGUGUGCAUACGCAGACCUGUGGGAAGAGACGCUUAUCUUAUGAUCUCAACAAGAACAUCAUGGAGUAGAUUUUCUCUUUCCUUGACUCUCAACAACAGAUGUUGUCUGCCCUACAAUGCCAAACCCCUGGGAGACUGUUUUCAUCCUCACAGGGGAAAUAACGGAACAAUUCACAAGAUUCAGACUGGAGCACUUGACCCCCUGGCGACCCCUAAUACUGUCUUAUUUAAUUUUGAAUUAACUGGAGCUUAUGUCAAUAGAUUCAACUGUGACAAUUUGGAUACACAUGGUUUUGUUUUGUAUAUGUGGGUCUCACAGAUAUUUUUAAAGAAAGGCAAAUGUCACAUUCUUAUUAAUUUCCUUAUUUUGGACUAAAAGACAAUGUGCAUUUGUCAGGCAAAGUGGAAGUAUACCCCCAACAAUUCACUCCACCCCCGAAAUAAACUUUGAGACAGUACUUUGUGUGCAGAGAAGUAAACACAUUUAUACACACACACAAACAAUCCUCUCCCAUCAUGUGAUGUCUGUCUCAGUACAGUAACAACCCUGGAGCAGAAUGUAUUCUAGGAUUAACUAACGCUGAACUUUACAUGAAGCUUAAUUUUUUUAUCAUACAGUAAAUAAAUGACUGUGUUUACUGACGUUCAAGUGGGUUGUUUCUAGCAGUCAGAAGGAACUUUUGUGCUGACAAAGAGAACAUUGGAUGUUUACAAUGAUACGUUUUGUUUCAGAUCACAAAAAAGCAAUUAUGUCAUACAAAGAUUAUACUUGUUUUUCUCAUUUGUGUUUGUGGGGAAACCCUAACUAAAUCAGCCCAUAACAAUGUAGUGGAUGUCUGUCAUUUGUACAUAAUUAAUUCCUCACGAAAAAUAUACAUAUUUUCUGAGUUGCUCAAAUGGAUAAAAAGAGAUUGUCAACUUGUUAAUUGAUGUAAUAAAAUGAUAUUGUGAUUAA
ensembl:lncRNA